GGUUCCAUAGCUCAGCUGGUAGAGCAUCACCUUGACAUGGUGAGGGUCGUUGGUUCAAACCCAAUUGGAGCCACCA
rnacentral:tRNA from 1 species